rnacentral:rRNA from 1 species
GUAGUCCACGCCGUAAACGAUGGGUACUAGGUGUCUGGGGGAGCGACCCCCUGGGUGCCGGCGCUAACGCAUGAAGUACCCCGCCUGGGGAGUACGACCGCAAGGUUGAAACUCAAAGGAAUUGACGGGGGCCCGCACAAGCGGUGGAGCAUGUGGUUUAAUUCGACGCAACGCGAAGAACCUUACCUAGGCUUGACAUGCUGGAGAAAGCUUGCGGAAACGUGAGCCCCUCUUCGGAGUUCCAGCACAGAUGCUGCAUGGCUGUCGUCAGCUCGUGUCGUGAGAUGUUGGGUUAAGUCCCGCAACGAGCGCAACCCUCGCCCUUAGUUACCAGCGGAUAAUGCCGGGGACUCUAGGGGGACUGCCGGUGCCAAACCGGAG